rnacentral:rRNA from 1 species
CACUGAAUGGAGGACCGAACCGACUUACGUUGAAAAGUGAGCGGAUGAACUGAGGGUAGCGGAGAAAUUCCAAUCGAACCUGGAGAUAGCUGGUUCUCUCCGAAAUAGCUUUAGGGCUAGCCUCAAGUGAUGAUUAUUGGAGGUAGAGCACUGUUUGGACGAGGGGCCCCUCUCGGGUUACCGAAUUCAGACAAACUCCGAAUGCCAAUUAAUUUAACUUGGGAGUCAGAACAUGGGUGAUAAGGUCCGUGUUCGAAAGGGAAACAGCCCAGACCACCAGCUAAGGUCCCAAAAUAUAUGUUAAGUGGAAAAGGAUGUGGCGUUGCCCAGACAACUAGGAUGUUGGCUUAGAAGCAGCCAUCAUUUAAAGAGUGCGUAAUAGCUCACUAGUCGAGUGACACUGCGCCGAAAAUGUACCGGGGCUAAACAUAUUACCGAAGCUGUGGAUUGUCCUUUGGACAAUGGUAGGAGAGCGUUCUAAGGGCGUUGAAGCAUGAUCGUAAGGACAUGUGGAGCGCUUAGAAGUGAGAAUGCCGGUGUGAGUAGCGAAAGACGGGUGAGAAUCCCGUCCACCGAUUGACUAAGGUUUCCAGAGGAAGGCUCGUCCGCUCUGGGUUAGUCGGGUCCUAAGCUGAGGCCGACAGGCGUAGGCGAUGGAUAACAGGUUGAUAUUCCUGUACCACCUAUAAUCGUUUUAAUCGAUGGGGGGACGCAGUAGGAUAGGCGAAGCGUGCGAUUGGAUUGCACGUCUAAGCAGUAAGGCUGAGUAUUAGGCAAAUCCGGUACUCGUUAAGGCUGAGCUGUGAUGGGGAGAAGACAUUGUGUCUUCGAGUCGUUGAUUUCACACUGCCGAGAAAAGCCUCUAGAUAGAAAAUAGGUGCCCGUACCGCAAACCGACACAGGUAGUCAAGAUGAGAAUUCUAAGGUGAGCGAGCGAACUCUCGUUAAGGAACUCGGCAAAAUGACCCCGUAACUUCGGGAGAAGGGGUGCUCUUUAGGGUUAACGCCCAGAAGAGCCGCAGUGAAUAGGCCCAAGCGACUGUUUAUCAAAAACACAGGUCUCUGCUAAACCGUAAGGUGAUGUAUAGGGGCUGACGCCUGCCCGGUGCUGGAAGGUUAAGAGGAGUGGUUAGCUUCUGCGAAGCUACGAAUCGAAGCCCCAGUAAACGGCGGCCGUAACUAUAACGGUCCUAAGGUAGCGAAAUUCCUUGUCGGGUAAGUUCCGACCCGCACGAAAGGCGUAACGAUUUGGGCACUGUCUCAACGAGAGACUCGGUGAAAUCAUAGUACCUGUGAAGAUGCAGGUUACCCGCGACAGGACGGAAAGACCCCGUGGAGCUUUACUGUAGCCUGAUAUUGAAAUUCGGCACAGCUUGUACAGGAUAGGUAGGAGCCUUUGAAACGUGAGCGCUAGCUUACGUGGAGGCGCUGGUGGGAUACUACCCUAGCUGUGUUGGCUUUCUAACCCGCACCACUUAUCGUGGUGGGAGACAGUGUCAGGCGGGCAGUUUGACUGGGGCGGUCGCCUCCUAAAAGGUAACGGAGGCGCUCAAAGGUUCCCUCAGAAUGGUUGGAAAUCAUUCAUAGAGUGUAAAGGCAUAAGGGAGCUUGACUGCGAGACCUACAAGUCGAGCAGGGUCGAAAGACGGACUUAGUGAUCCGGUGGUUCCGCAUGGAAGGGCCAUCGCUCAACGGAUAAAAGCUACCCCGGGGAUAACAGGCUUAUCUCCCCCAAGAGUUCACAUCGACGGGGAGGUUUGGCACCUCGAUGUCGGCUCAUCGCAUCCUGGGGCUGUAGUCGGUCCCAAGGGUUGGGCUGUUCGCCCAUUAAAGCGGUACGCGAGCUGGGUUCAGAACGUCGUGAGACAGUUCGGUCCCUAUCCGUCGUGGGCGUAGGAAAUUUGAGAGGAGCUGUCCUUAGUACGAGAGGACCGGGAUGGACAUACCUCUGGUGUACCAGUUGUCGUGCCAACGGCAUAGCUGGGUAGCUAUGUGUGGACGGGAUAAGUGCUGAAAGCAUCUAAGCAUGAAGCCCCCCUCAAGAUGAGAUUUCCCAACUUCGGUUAUAAGAUCCCUCAAAGAUGAUGAGGUUAAUAGGUUCGAGGUGGAAGCAUGGUGACAUGUGUAGCUGACGAAUACUAAUCGAUCGAAGACUUAAUCAA